GCUGUGGUGGCUGAGUGGUGAAGGUGUUGGACUUGCAAUCCUAUUGCGUUUACCUGUGCAGGUUCAAGUCCUGCUCACAGCA